UUAUGGAUUUUUCUUUUAAUAUAAAACAAAGUUUACGAAAAUUUUUUUCCACUUUUUGUAUUUGUAAUCCCAUUAGCACAGGGACUUUGGCAGCAGGUGGGAGUGAAGGGCAGCUGAGCUGCCACUGGGCAGUCACUGGGCACAGGAGGAGAGCACCAGCCUGGGGAGUGGCUUCACUCACACACACAGGGAUACUCACCUACUGGCCAACCACACUACACACACAGCACAGAUGCAGACAUUGACCCAGUGUCAGCCACAUGCCCUGGAGGUGUGCUCCACUCUGGGUAAGCCCAAUAUGUGAAAAUUCAAAUAGUCAAAACAGCUAAAGUGGAGGGAGAAGAUUUCCAGCUGCCCUGAGUCGGAGCCCUCCACUCACCCCCAUUCCCAGGCUCGGCCCCCAGCCUUGGG
ensembl:lncRNA novel transcript